CCCUUAGAUGUUCUGGGCCGCACGCGCGCUACACUGAUGCAUUCAACGAGUUUCUUCCUGGUCCGAGAGGAAUGGGUAACCUUUUGAAAGUGCAUCGUGAUAGGGAUAGACUAUUGCAAUUAUUGGUCUUCAACGAGGAAUUCCUAGUGGACGUAGUUCAUCAGACUGCAUCGAUUACGUCCCUGCCCUUUGUACACACCGCCCGUCGCUCCUACCGAUUGAAUGCUCAGGUGAGCCAUUCGGACUUUCAUCAUGCUGGUUUCCAGUUUUGAUGAAGGAAAGUCUUGCGAACCUUAUCAUUUAGAGGAAGGAGAAGUCGUAACA
rnacentral:rRNA from 1 species